rnacentral:rRNA from 1 species
AGAGUUUGAUCAUGGCUCAGAUUGAACGCUGGCGGCAGGCCUAACACAUGCAAGUCGAGCGGAUGAGUGGAGCUUGCUCCAUGAUUCAGCGGCGGACGGGUGAGUAAUGCCUAGGAAUCUGCCUGGUAGUGGGGGACAACGUUUCGAAAGGAACGCUAAUACCGCAUACGUCCUACGGGAGAAAGCAGGGGACCUUCGGGCCUUGCGCUAUCAGAUGAGCCUAGGUCGGAUUAGCUAGUUGGUGAGGUAAAGGCUCACCAAGGCGACGAUCCGUAACUGGUCUGAGAGGAUGAUCGGUCACACUGGAACUGAGACACGGUCCAGACUCCUACGGGAGGCAGCAGUGGGGAAUAUUGGACAAUGGGCGAAAGCCUGAUCCAGCCAUGCCGCGUGUGUGAAGAAGGUCUUCGGAUUGUAAAGCACUUUAAGUUGGGAGGAAGGGCAGUAAGCUAAUACCUUGCUGUUUUGACGUUACCGACAGAAUAAGCACCGGCUAACUUCGUGCCAGCAGCCGCGGUAAUACGAAGGGUGCAAGCGUUAAUCGGAAUUACUGGGCGUAAAGCGCGCGUAGGUGGUUCAGCAAGUUGGAUGUGAAAGCCCCGGGCUCAACCUGGGAACUGCAUCCAAAACUACUGAGCUAGAGUACGGUAGAGGGUGGUGGAAUUUCCUGUGUAGCGGUGAAAUGCGUAGAUAUAGGAAGGAACACCAGUGGCGAAGGCGACCACCUGGGCUGAUACUGACACUGAGGUGCGAAAGCGUGGGGAGCAAACAGGAUUAGAUACCCCGGUAGUCC